rnacentral:rRNA from 1 species
GAGUUUGAUCCUGGCUCAGAUUGGACGCUGGCGGCAGGCUUAACACAUGCAAGUCGAACGGUAACAUGAGUGCUUGCACUUGAUGACGAGUGGCGGACGGGUGAGUAAAGUAUGGGGAUCUGCCGAAUGGAGGGGGACAACAGUUGGAAACGACUGCUAAUACCGCAUAAAGUUGAGAGACCAAAGCAUGGGACCUUCGGGCCAUGCGCCAUUUGAUGAACCCAUAUGGGAUUAGCUAGUUGGUAGGGUAAAGGCUUACCAAGGCGACGAUCUCUAGCUGGUCUGAGAGGAUGACCAGCCACACUGGAACUGAGACACGGUCCAGACUCCUACGGGAGGCAGCAGUGGGGAAUAUUGCACAAUGGGGGAAACCCUGAUGCAGCCAUGCCGCGUGUAUGAAGAAGGCCUUCGGGUUGUAAAGUACUUUCGGUAAUGAGGAAAGUGGUGUAUCUAAUAGGUGCAUCAAUUGACGUUAAUUACAGAAGAAGCACCGGCUAACUCCGUGCCAGCAGCCGCGGUAAUACGGAGGGUGCGAGCGUUAAUCGGAAUGACUGGGCGUAAAGGGCAUGUAGGCGGAUAAUUAAGUUAGGUGUGAAAGCCCUGGGCUCAACCUAGGAAUUGCACUUAAAGCUGGUUAACUAGAGUAUUGUAGAGGAAGGUAGAAUUCCACGUGUAGCGGUGAAAUGCGUAGAGAUGUGGAGGAAUACCGGUGGCGAAGGCGGCCUUCUGGACAGAUACUGACGCUGAGAUGCGAAAGCGUGGGGAGCAAACAGGAUUAGAUACCCUGGUAGUCCACGCUGUAAACGAUGUCGAUUUGGAGUUUGUUGCCUAGAGUGAUGGGCUCCGAAGCUAACGCGAUAAAUCGACCGCCUGGGGAGUACGGCCGCAGGGUUAAAACUCAAAUGAAUUGACGGGGGCCCGCACAAGCGGUGGAGCAUGUGGUUUAAUUCGAUGCAACGCGAAGAACCUUACCUGGUCUUGACAUCCACAGAAUCUUGCAGAGAUGCGAGAGUGCCUUCGGGAACUGUGAGACAGGUGCUGCAUGGCUGUCGUCAGCUCGUGUUGUGAAAUGUUGGGUUAAGUCCCGCAACGAGCGCAACCCUUAUCCUUUGUUGCCAGCGAUUCGGUCGGGAACUCAAAGGAGACUGCCGUUGAUAAAGCGGAGGAAGGUGGGGACGACGUCAAGUCAUCAUGGCCCUUACGACCAGGGCUACACACGUGCUACAAUGGCGUAUACAAAGGGAGGCGA